UUGAAUUAUUUUAUUCUCUGAUUGAGAGUUUGCACUUAUUCAUUUGUGGGCAAAUAUUUCAGGGAAACAUAUUACGUUAUCUUAACAUGCUAAGGGAGCGGGGGAAGAAGCAUUUCCUGUUGACAAAUUCUCAUUGUGGAUGGAGGGUUGCGUUUUAUGUUGGAGGAUUCUUUGGAUUGUAGAGACUCUUGGACGAAACUGUUUGAUGUUGUGAUUGCUAAGGCCAAUAAACCACGGUUUUAUACACUUGAGCAUCCAUUCCGUGAAAAUGGAUUCGGUGAAGUGUGAUAUAGAGUGAGUAGUGAGCUAACUUUAUUUUACAUGCGAUGUUGGAUGUGGAGGAAUCUGAAACAUGAAGCUUGGAAUAGAGAGCCCUCUUGUACCAAAUGUGGAUGUGUGCCUAAAAUAUGUUCCUGAAAUGGGAUACGAUGUAUGUGUUGUUUUUCCUUUCUAGGUUAACUCAACAUCCUAGUGAAUUUGUUGUGACUUUUCCAAGAUCUUAUCAUGUAGGAUUCAACCAUGGUAAUUGUUUUGAAGUUUACGUACAUUCCUAAUAUUUGCUGAAAAAUGGUGUUGUAGGUGUUUGGUCUAUGAUUGAUGGAUUGAUUGUACAAGUGUUUUUACAAUUUGUGCUAUAUAGAUCUAUUGCUUCUUUUGGAUA